rnacentral:rRNA from 1 species
GUAGGGAGCAAGCGUUGUUCGGAAUUAUUGGGCGUAAAGAGCGCGUAGGCGGCUAGGCAAGUCUGAUGUGAAAUCCCACAGCUCAACUGUGGAACUGCAUUGGAAACUGCUUAGCUGGAGUGCGGGAGAGGAGAGUGGAAUUCCCAGUGUAGAGGUGAAAUUCGUAGAUAUUGGGAGGAACACCGGUGGCGAAGGCGGCUCUCUGGACCGCAACUGACGCUGAGGCGCGAAAGCUAGGGGAGCGAACGGGAUUAGAUACCCCGGUAGUCCUAGCCGUAAACGAUGGGCACUAGGUGUGGGAGGUAUCGACCCCUUCUGUGCCGCAGCUAACGCAUUAAGUGCCCCCGCCUGGGGAGUACGGUCGCAAGACUA